UACGUAGGGGGCUAGCGUUGUCCGGAUUUAUUGGGCGUAAAGAGCGUGUAGGCGGCCAGGUAGGUCUGCUGUGAAAACUCGAGGCUCAACCUCGAGACGUCGGCGGAAACCAUCUGGCUAGAGUCCGGAAGAGGAGAGUGGAAUUCCUGGUGUAGCGGUGAAAUGCGCAGAUAUCAGGAAGAACACCAAUGGCGAAGGCAGCUCGCUGGGACGGUACUGACGCUGAGGCGCGAAAGCGUGGGGAGCGAACAGG
rnacentral:rRNA from 1 species